AAGUCAGCUGUUUGAUAAGCUGCAAUCGAUAGUAAAAAACGCUGGAAACUGUUUGUUUACUUUUAGAGCUUACCAAAUUGAAACUAAAUUCAAAAACUGAAAUCAAAGUAAUGGAAAAAAAAGGCCAGGGUAGAGAAUACUUAACCAAUCUGCCCGUCUCUUUUUCAUUAACUAAAAGCCAAUAUAACAACUUUCGCGAUCCCAGCAAUAGCAAAUCGUGUGAUCUUCUUCCAGCUUACAACAAUGCAAGAGAAGCUAAAUCAAAAUGUAGGCCUCUGGAUAUUACUGUAACCGAAACAGUUGCUCAAGUCCCAUUACAAAAACUUCUAGAUCACACUAGUUGUCGCAUAAUUCAAAUGCAAGAAGACAUAUUCGAAAUUAUUUAAUUGCGAUUUCCUGCCAGCUGUCAAUUGAUGCAAAACUAUUUAAAAAAUAUUGUAAAGAAAUAUUUACACUAUAUAUGUCCUUGUACUCAUGGUUUCCGAUGUCGGCAACAGUUCAUAAAGUUUUAAUUCACGGUUUCCAAAUAAUAGAAGCAUCAGUACUGCCAGCUCUGCCAUAAAGCAAUAGGUUUGGUCUCCUUAAUACUAUUUACCUGUGUUGUUAAGAUACGAUAUAUGCAAUGUACGGAUUCAACGCUUAAUAAUUAAAAAAAAAUUUAAAAAAAAAAAAAAAAAAAUCAGUACUGCCAGCAUGUGUUCUUGGAGAAAACGCAAUAAAUACUAUGAGAGAGACAGACGAUUACAUGCUCGAAAGGAUUCACGACGCAACAAUAUGACAGAUGUUUUCCAAAGAGCAAUGGAUUGCUCUGAUCCUCUUGUAUCGAGCAUCUAUCUGACAAAAAGAUUGGGUGGAAAUAAAAAGGAACCAUUGUCGAAAGCUGUUAUUGAACUUUUAGAAACACCAUGUUUUGAAAAUAUUUUUUAUAACAAUAAUGCUUCCCUAGAAACUGAUUCUGGUAUGUGUGAAAGUGACGAAUCGGAUUCCGGUAAUGAAAAUUCAUCAUCAAUAGAAAUAGAUGUAGAAGAAGAUUAAUAAUAAAUUCGUUGUACUUUGAAAAA